GCCCUUAGAGUUUGAUCCUGGCUCAGAAUGAACGCUGGCGGCGUGCCUAACACAUGCAAGUCGCGCGAGAAAGCCCCUUCGGGGGUGAGUAAAGCGGCGGACGGGUGAGUAACGCGUGGACAACCUACCCUGGGGUCGGGGAUAACCCUGCGAAAGCGGGGCUAAUACCGAAUACGCUGUACAUUCCCUGGUUGUUAAUGGCUUCGAGGGUAUGUAUGGGAAAGGUGGCCUCUGUUGCAAGCUACCGCCCUGGGAUGGGUCCGCGUCCCAUUAGCUAGUCGGUGGGGUAACGGCCUACCGAGGCGACGAUGGGUAGCCGGCCUGAGAGGGUGAUCGGCCACACUGGGACUGGAACACGGCCCAGACUCCUACGGGAGGCAGCAGUGGGGAAUCUUGGGCAAUGGGCGCAAGCCUGACCCAGCAACGCCGCGUG
rnacentral:rRNA from 1 species